AUAGAUAAUUUAAAUUUAACUCGAUCUCCUACAAGUUGAAUUAAGUUAAACAAGUUAAAUGGUUAAGCAUUGCUACCUCUAUUUUUGAUUUUUGUUACUUUUUGCAAAAUGUAGGCUUGUGAGUUACGUAUGUACAUGGAUUGUAUAAUCAAAAGGCCAGAUGGCAACCAUUGCAACUUGCAUAUGUGGUGAUGAAACCAAAUCCAUAUCACAUAGUUUGCACAAGAAAACACAGUUUAAUAUGUCCUUGCGACCUCCUCUAUGAGACUGUGACUAGAUAUGGGUGUCUCAAGUUCUGAACCGCCUUCUCUGGUCAUGCAUCAUGACUAGUCGAGUUAGUGCAAGAAUACAAGAUAGAGCUUAUCAGGGUGAUUCUGCUUUCACACUUUCUUGACUUGAGUUUUUGGUAUAUCAAUUAUUAGAGUAUUAACCCAGCUUGCCUUUCUUUUUAGGGUUAACCGGCUGGUCAUAUAACAAAGACAUCUCAGUAUCAUGAAUUAUCAUUCAUAUGUAUGGUAGUCAUAAUUUGUGCUCAUAUAUUAUGAUAUAUCAAAUGUACUACUUUCUCAAUAGAUAUUUCAAUUUUGCUAACAAUGUUUUGUGCAAGUAAUCUUAUGUGAGGUGCAAUUAUUAGUUUGAAACCAAUCCAAACCAAGUCAAAUCAGUUUGGUUUGAUUCCUAUCAUGUCCCAAACCAAUCAAUCUUAAUCUGAUCCAUCUAGUUCCGCACUGGUUUGAUAUGACAUAUUAUGACUUGGAUGGUUCAGAUUCGUUUUGCAACCUUUGGCAAUUCCACUUAAUUCUAUAUAAUAUGCCCCGAACUAGGCAGUUCAGGUCGAUUUGGAAAACUUGGGUGCCAUGGCUCUAUAUGCCUGGAAGGCAACAAAGGAUUUAAGUAGCAUGAAGGAAAUAAAGGAAAGAAGAUGUUAGAGAACAAUAUAGUGUAUACAAGCCAAUGUAGGGAAUGGUGUCCUUAUGGUACAAAGCUUUAUUUUUUCCUUUCGCAUAUUAAUAUUCAUGACACAACACAUAUCAAAAUGGUCGGCAGCUUUGGCAAUGGUCCAAGAGAAGCUAAUUAACAAGCAGAAUUCCACAAAGGUACAAUGACUCCUCAUUUUGAAUUAUGCCUGUUUAUUCCUUUAAUAUAAAAAAAAUUAUCUGGCGAUCAAUGCAUACUCACCACUAUAGGUAAUGGCGAUGGUAAUGUAUGUGGAGAAGUUCAACAGAAGUUUGAAUGUGAAUUCUACAUGGUAAAAUUGAUUCCUUGAAUUGAACUGCAUCACAUUCGCAUCUUCCUCUUUAAGAAUUAUCAUAUAUUCAUCAUAUGUACGCCACCAUGGCGGGCGAUGGAAGAGCCAAUGGCAAUGGUCUUUGAGAAGCUCAUCAAAAGUUUGUGCGCUCUCUAAUAGAUUCCUUGAACUGAAUUAUAACAUGUUCUUUUAUGAAAAAUUAUGUCAAAGUCAUAUACCAACCUGCCUAUGUUCAAUAGCCUACCUUCCUUGACCAGCAUUCCCCUCCAUUUUGCACCCUAUUUCUAAAAAAAAUCAUGCCACGCUCAUAUUUGCUCAAAAAGAAAUAUUUGCAUUCUUUUUGUAACUGCUACUACGCGCAAUGACGAUGAUAAUAACCUUUGAGAAGCUCACAACAAUCUACAUGUAAACUCUGAAAAGUACAUUGAUUCCUUAAAUUGAACACUAUUUUUCUCACCUUAGUCCCUCAAGCAAUUGAGGUCCAACCUUUGGAUUAACUGCCACCUAAUGUUUAGGCUCAUCCACAGGCAUUUUUAAUGAUCAUUUUUCUUUUAAUCCCUGGCCCAGGCAUAAGUAUGUAUAAAACAGACAUAACUACUGCAUAUAUAGGGAAAACAGUGUGUAGGAAACUAUGGAGAUUGGCCUGCAAAUAGGCAAGUAAUUUGCAUAGAAUGCAGAGAAGACACAGGAGAAAACUAUAGUGUACCGGUCUUUGGCUAAAGCAUGAGGUUUUCCACAGGACUUAAUUUUUUAAUUUACAUUCACAUUUCCUCUAAAGUUCUUCAUCAGGAGAAGUGAUCGGUCUCAAUUCCUCAACAAGUUCUCUGGCAAAUUCAAAUUGGAUAGGAAACGAGUUUCCUGGUGGCAGUUCAACCCUUUAAGCAAGGCUUUCAGAUGCCACAAAGUUUCAAUCAACCUGAUAUGCCUUGAUGGGCCUUCGCCUUGGCUAGGUUUAACCACAAUGCUUGCAAGCAAUUAAGCAUUGAGCAACAACGUAGCAGAGACUUUGUCAGGAAACUACAUAGACCAGAAUAGAAAGUUCAACAUGAAGAAUAAUCUUUAGUUAAGACCUCUCAAAAUUAAUAGAUUGCAAGUACAACCUUGCCAAGAUUUGCAAUCUCCAAUCAUACCUCCCCUAUGGCCCAUAUCGGGUAGGGUACUAAAACUUUAGUAUACCCCCUGCUUCAAGUAUCAGUAAUGAGGCACAUGAGGCACAUGCCGUAGGAUGUAUUGGUUGGACAUUGGUACAAGAUCUGGUACCAAGAUUGCAAAAUACAUGUCUUAUGUCUAAUAUCCGUUAAAGUUAAACAAGUAUCUUCGCAUGCAAAUUAUAGCUAAAUGUUCUUAGCUUACUGCAUGAUGGCAACCCUUACCAUUUUCUACAUAUGUACCUGGAUUGCACUGUGUGUGGGGCUUUGUGCUAGAGUGACGCAUUGGUUUCUGAAAGAUUUAACAGAGUGGUUGAAACAAUACUGUCAAUUGUUAAUAUUCUGCUUGUUAAUAUCUUCAUCACAGAUUUUUCGGAACAACAUUGAGUUUGUCAAAUAAGGCUAGAAAGAGCUAGUUAUUGACUGCAGGUGAUUCCACUUAGCAAUAUAAUCAGUUGUCUUGCAACAGGUAUGCAGUUCAGUCUCAUGGCUAGCACUAACACUUGUUCCAAUUCAGGAGGAAGAUUAAUACAAUCCAUCCGAAUGUUAGUAUUUACAUCCAGAGUAAUGAAGAUUAUUUGUGAAAGUAGCAUUUGCAAAUCAGACUUGGAAGCAGAGACGCUUCAGUUUGUAAACAAAUUUGGAGAAAUGAGAAGAGUUUGACAGAAGUUGACAAAAAAAUAAAAGAAUAAAUAUAAUAGAAAGCAUAAAGUUACUGACAAAAAUACAAUAGUCCAUGAGGGGGCAAGCAUGGUAGACUCCAGCAUUGGCUAAAGUUCUUUUCUUUGAAAAGACCUUUUUGAAAAAGUGAUUGAGUAAAAAAAAA